GAUGAACGCUGGCGGCGUGCCUAAUACAUGCAAGUCGAGCGAACAGACGAGGAGCUUGCUCCUCUGACGUUAGCGGCGGACGGGUGAGUAACACGUGGAUAACCUACCUAUAAGACUGGGAUAACUUCGGGAAACCGGAGCUAAUACCGGAUAAUAUAUUGAACCGCAUGGUUCAAUAGUGAAAGACGGUUUUGCUGUCACUUAUAGAUGGAUCCGCGCCGCAUUAGCUAGUUGGUAAGGUAACGGCUUACCAAGGCAACGAUGCGUAGCCGACCUGAGAGGGGGGUCGGCCACACUGGAACUGAGACACGGUCCAGACUCCUGCGGGAGGCAGCAGUAGGGAAUCUUCCGCAAGGGGCGAGAGCUUGACGGAGCAACGCCGCGUGAGUGAUGAAGGUCUUCGGAUCGUAAAACUCUGUUAUUAGGGAAGAACAAAUGUGUAAGUAACUAUGCACGUCUUGACGGUACCUAAUCAGAAAGCCACGGCUAACUACGUG
rnacentral:rRNA from 1 species